UGCUAGUCUGAUGGUAGUGGGAUCCCCAGAACUUAUUAACCUUAGUGUCACCAACGUUGGUAUACAACCCCCCCACUGCUAAAUUUGACUGGCUUUUA
rnacentral:Y_RNA from 1 species